rnacentral:pre_miRNA from 1 species
GUGAUUUCUGGUGUGGCAUCAUCAAGAUUCACACAAUGUAUGGCAUGCAUGCGAUGCUCUCAUCCUUCCCCAUCCAUACAUGCAUGUGAACUGGAGUUCCGUUCAUGCAUGGGAGAUGGAUAGAUUGAUGAGCUUUGCUAGCUAGCCAGCGUACUAUGUGUGGGAAUCUUGAUGAUGCUGCAUCGGCGAUCAA